AAAAGCUCGACCUCAGAUCAGGUAGGAAUACCCGCUG
rnacentral:rRNA from 1 species